CAUUCCUACAAAUAUUUGCCACAGACUCCUCGAGGGGUGUGGAAGCCGGCCUCCUGCCCGCUGACUAUGGUCCAGGUCUGGGACACGGUUUGGGAGUUACCCUGCCCAACCGCCUUUAGCAGCUUUCCCUGGGUGCCCCUGGUUCAGCACUUUCCCUUCAUGCGAUUGGAACCGAACGCUAGCUCCCUGGCAGCCAUUUUCAUGAAACAAACCCACGAAUAGUCCUCAGCCCCGACCACUAUGAAACUAAUUUCGGCAUGAGAACUUCGUGGGUUCCCGGUCACCUCUGGGGGACUUAGCCACGAAUGUUAGUUUUCGGCAUUAGGUGACCGUCCGGUUCCCGGACAACUUGGUUCGCGGUUUUAAACCACUCUGAAAUCCGCCAGGAGAUCGC